UGGGGAAUUUUGGACAAUGGGCGAAAGCCUGAUCCAGCAAUGCCGCGUGUGUGAAGAAGGCCUUCGGGUUGUAAAGCACUUUUGUCCGGAAAGAAAUGGCUCUGGUUAAUACCUGGGGUCGAUGACGGUACCGGAAGAAUAAGGACCGGCUAACUACGUGCCAGCAGCCGCGGUAAUACGUAGGGUCCAAGCGUUAAUCGGAAUUACUGGGCGUAAAGCGUGCGCAGGCGGUUGUGCAAGACCGAUGUGAAAUCCCCGAGCUUAACUUGGGAAUUGCAUUGGUGACUGCACGGCUAGAGUGUGUCAGAGGGGGGUAGAAUUCCACGUGUAGCAGUGAAAUGCGUAGAGAUGUGGAGGAAUACCGAUGGCGAAGGCAGCCCCCUGGGAUAACACUGACGCUCAUGCACGAAAGCGUGGGGAGCAAACAGGAUUAGAUACCCUGGUAGUCCACGCCCUAAACGAUGUCAACUAGUUGUUGGGGGAUUCAUUUCCUUAGUAACGUAGCUAACGCGUGAAGUUGGACCGCCUGGGGAGUACGGUCGCAAGAUUAAAAGCUCAAAUG
rnacentral:rRNA from 1 species